ACAUCUUUUCUAUGGAAGGUUUCUGGUCUGGUUUCUGUGAAGCUCUGGGACUUCAGUGUUUGAGGGGUGUGAAGGUUUCUGGUCUGGUUUCUGUGAAGCUCUGGGACUUCAGUGUUUGAGGGGUGUGAAGGUUUCUGGUCUGGUUUCUGUGAAGCUCUGGGACUUCAGUGUUUGAGGGGUGUGAAGGUUUCUGG